GACGGAGGAUGCAAGUGUUAUCCGGAAUCACUGGGCGUAAAGCGUCUGUAGGUGGUCAAAUAAGUCAACUGUUAAAUCUUGAGGCUCAACCUCAAAAUCGCAGUCGAAACUAUUAGACUAGAGUAUAGUAGGGGUAAAGGGAAUUUCCAGUGGAGCGGUGAAAUGCGUAGAGAUCAGGUGGAACACCGAUGGCGAAGGCAGCACCCUGGACGAGUACUGACGCUGAGGCGCGAAAGCGUGGGGAGCGAACGGG
rnacentral:rRNA from 1 species